CCCCUCCUCGCCCUGAUGAUGCCGCCGCCAUCAUCAGCAUUACAGCCCUCACCACGGCCGCGACCUCCCCUCCCCCUCCUUCCCGCCACUUCUCUCUCUCUCUGCGCUGUGAGAAGAAGAGGGAUAAGGGGAGGGGGUGGGGCGGAGCAGGCAAAGAAGAGCGACGGUUGGUUGGUUGCCUGCUGCUGCCUGGUCGGUCGCUCGGUCGGUCGCUGUACUGAACAUUUGGGCAGUGGAAAAAAAAAUCAGAUGCUCUGCAUCUUUUCUCCCUGGAAGCUACUUUUCCUGUGAGAGGGAACUGCACUGAUGCUGUAUAUGGAGUGGGGAUACCUUUAUGGCACUCCUGGGAUCCAUCCCUGG
rnacentral:lncRNA from 1 species